rnacentral:rRNA from 1 species
GUAAGUGGAUUAGUGAAAAUAAAAAUAAAAAACAUGGCGGUUUUCUAUCAUAUUAGAGGGACAUGUGUUGGGAACGAAUUUGCACGAAUAAUUGUUCUUUUUUUUGAAAUCAUUUUACAUACCGCUGUCUGAAAGAUUUUUCUAGAGAAAAUAUUUUUUAUCAUGGAAUAAGGCAAGUAAAGGUGUAGACUAUGAAAAAGAAAACAUGUGUUCCAUUUUUAUUAAUGGAUAAAAGAAAUUUUAGAAAAAGAAUUUAAUAGUAAAUUUAGUUUAUUAAACUAAUUUGAAUUGGAAAUGGAAAGUGUACACA